CUGGAACACAAGAUGAAGGGAGUUUGGAUCUCAGUUGCCAAAGACUUCUCAGUUACCAAUAGGUUGGGCUAGCUUUGGACCCAGGUCAGUCUGGCUCCAUAUUUUACCCACUUCUUCUCCUUCCCCAAUCCUAAAACACUUGGGAGCCGAAGGGAAAGGUCCUAAUGGAACUUGGGUGUUUCCUGAGGGGUCCAAAGGGGAUUUCCUGGAGUCAGAAUGGCCAAGUUUCCUGAAGUUAAACAGUUGACACAGACAAAUAACAGACACUCCCAGAAACAUGAAACCAACAGCCAACGAACCGACCAACAGUCAACCAACGGACCUACAGCACCACCAACAAAAAAAUGGUCUUUUCAACAGAGAGAGACACAGUGAGAGAGGGAACACAAGCGGGGGAGUGGCAGAGGGAGAAGCAGGCUUCCCACCCAGCACAGAGCCCAACGCAGGGCUCGAUCCCAGGACCCCGGGAUCACAACCGGAGCCGAAGGCAGGCACCUAACGAAUGAAGAAUCUGAGCUUCAGGAAGGUUAAGCAGGUUUGCUUGAGAUCACAAAGCUG
rnacentral:lncRNA from 1 species